rnacentral:rRNA from 1 species
UACGGAGGGGGCUAGUGUUGUUCGGAAUUACUGGGCGUAAAGCGCACGUAGGCGGCUUUGUAAGUUAGAGGUGAAAGCCCGGGGCUCAACUCCGGAAUUGCCUUUAAGACUGCAUCGCUAGAAUUGUGGAGAGGUAAGUGGAAUUCCGAGUGUAGAGGUGAAAUUCGUAGAUAUUCGGAAGAACACCAGUGGCGAAGGCGACUUACUGGACACAUAUUGACGCUGAGGUGCGAAAGCGUGGGGAGCAAACAGG